UGAUUUUCUAGAAUAAAUAAUUUCCAAUUAUUUAAGUACCAAAAGAUUGCAUUGUGUAUGAAACACAUACUAGGACCUUAACAUGGAUAGACACAAACACAAUGUAGCUGAGAAGAAAGGCAUUUUCCAACUGCUUGGGGCCCAUAUGUAGUCCUGCAAUCAUUGCAACACUUCACGUCUUCUGUGACUGCACAAGCUUCACUAGUAAUUUUGUAGCACUUAAAUCCAUUUAUAGCUUCCAGUAGUUGUUCCCGUCCCGCUGGAACACAUGGAUCUUUCUGUAUCUCCUCAUGUCCUACAACACACCAGCACAUAAUGAAGUACUCUUUACCCACCUAGAAAGAAAAUAAUUUAGGUAUUUCUAUUAUAUGAUUGGAAAAACAUACCUGAAGUCAUGGAUAGGGCAAGGGAACUAAUCAAAAUUAAAGUGACGGUGAACUUCAUUCUAAACAAGCUAUCCUUAUCGAUAAAAUUGGUAUCAAC
rnacentral:lncRNA from 1 species